rnacentral:rRNA from 1 species
GAUGAACGCUAGCGGCAGGCUUAAUACAUGCAAGUCGAACGGUAAGAGAUGUAGCAAUACAUUUCCUAGAGUGACGUACGGGUGCGUAACACGUAUGCAACCUACCUGUAACAGGAGUAUAGCUCGGGGAAACUCGAAUUAACCCUCCAUAAGAUCGUGAAGUGGCAUCACUUAGCGCUUAAAACUGAGGUGGUUACAGAUGGGCAUGCGUCUGAUUAGUUAGUUGGCGGGGUAAUGGCCCACCAAGACGAUGAUCAGUAGGGGAACUGAGAGGUUGACUCCCCCACACUGGCACUGAGAUACGGGCCAGACUCCGUACGGGAGGCAGCAGUAGGGAAUAUUGGUCAAUGGGUGAGAGCCU